ensembl:lncRNA
AGUAAUAGUAAUAGUAGUAGUAAUAGUAGUAGUAGUAGUAGUAAUAGUAAUAAUAUUAGUAGUAGUAAUAGUAGUAGUAGUAGUAGUAAUAGUAAUAGUAGUAGUAAUAGUAGUAGUAGUAGUAGUAGUAAUAGUAAUAGUAGUAGUAGUAGUAAUAGUAGUAGUAAGUAAUAAUAGUAGUCAUAGUAGUAAAUAACAAAUAGCAGUAGGUCGCACCACAACAAUUAUUUGCUCUCGCACAAAUGCUCCCAAAUGUAUUUUGAGGUUGCACAGAUUAAAUUUCAGGAGCAUAUGAAACCAAAAUGGUCGCAAUUUCGAGCCUUGCCUGUGAUGGACUGGCGUCCCACCUGAGGUGAAUUCUCCCGCCUUUUGCCCAGUGUUACCGGGACAGACUCAGAGACGCUGAUCUUUUAAAAUGUUAUCAUUAAUACAGUUACAUCAGAGCUGUUUUGUUAAUAUUUUUGAAUAAUACUAUUUUUUUUUUAGAUUGAUAUUUUGAGUGGGCGGGGGGCCCUGUGGCCCUGUGUGUGCGGAGUUUGCAUGUUCUCCCCGUGCUGCGGGGGUUUCCUCCAGGUACUCUGGUUUCCUCCCCCAGUCCAAAGACAUGCAUGGUAGGCUGAUUGGCAUGUCCAAAGUGUCCGUAGUGUAUGAAUGGGUGUGUGAGUGUGUAUGUGAUUGUGCCCUACGAUGGAUUAGCACCCCGUCCAGGGUGUACCCUGCCUUGUGCCCGAUGCUUCCUGGGAUAGACUCCAGGUUUCCCCGUGACCCUGAAAGGAUAAAGCGGUAUAGAAGAUGGAUGGAUGGAUUGUUAUUUUGAAACUGUUUUCUUAAUGAUUUGAUAACACUGUGCUGCAUUAAGUUCUAAAACAGACAAAUGUGCACUGAAUUAAAUCAUAUUAUAAAUCAAACUGACUAGAUUGGAGGGAGAGCGAGGGAGAGAGAGGGAGAGAGAGAGAGAAAGAGUGUGGGGGAGAGAGAGAGAGAGAGAGAGAGUGGGGGACAGAGAGAAAGCGAAUGGGGGAGAGAGAGAGAGCAAGAGAGAGAGUGGGGAAGAGAGAGAGAGAGUGGGGAGACAGAGACAGUGAGAGUGGGGGACAGAGAGAGAGAGUGGGGA